UUACUUCAGCAGUACAUACACUAAAAUUGGAAUGCUAUAGAGGAGAUUAGCAUGGCCCCUCUGCAAGAAUGACGUGCAAAUUCAUGAAGCAUUCUAUAUUUUU